rnacentral:rRNA from 1 species
GACGAACGCUGGCGGCGUGCCUAAUACAUGCAAGUCGAACGCUUCUUUCCUCCCGAGUGCUUGCCCUCAAUUGGAAAGAGGAGUGGCGGACGGGUGAGUAACACGUGGGUAACCUACCCAUCAGAGGGGGAUAACACUUGGAAAUAGGUGCUAAUACCGCAUAACAGUUUAUGCCGCAUGGCAUAAGAGUGAAAGGCGCUUUCGGGUGUCGCUGAUGGAUGGACCCGCGGUGCAUUAGCUAGUUGGUGAGGUAACGGCUCACCAAGGCCACGAUGCAUAGCCGACCUGAGAGGGUGAUCGGCCACACUGGGACUGAGACACGGCCCAGACUCCUACGGGAGGCAGCAGUAGGGAAUCUUCGGCAAUGGACGAAAGUCUGACCGAGCAACGCCGCGUGAGUGAAGAAGGUGUUCGGAUCGUAAAACUCUGUUGUUAGAGAAGAACAAGGACGUUAGUAACUGAACGUCCCCUGACGGUAUCUAACCAGAAAGCCACGGCUAACUACGUG